UGGGGAAUCUUGGACAAUGGGGGCAACCCUGAUCCAGCCAUGCCGCGUGAGUGAUGAAGGCCUUAGGGUCGUAAAGCUCUUUCGCCUGUGAAGAUAAUGACGGUAGCAGGUAAAGAAACCCCGGCUAACUCCGUGCCAGCAGCCGCGGUAAUACGGAGGGGGUUAGCGUUGUUCGGAAUUACUGGCGUAAAGCGCACGUAGGCGGACCAGAAAGUUGGGGGUGAAAUCCCGGGGGCUCAACCCCGGAACUGCCUCCAAAACUAUUGGUCUAGAGUUCGAGAGAGGUGAGUGGAAUUCCAAGUGUAGAGGUGAAAUUCGUAGAUAUUAGGUGGAACACCAGUGGCGAAGGCGGCUCACUGGCUCGAUACUGACGCUGAGGUGCGAAAGUGUGGGGAGCAAACAGGAUUAGAUACCCUGGUAGUCCACACCGUAAACGAUGAAUGCCAGUCGUCGGGUAGCAUGCUAUUCGGUGACACACCUAACGGAUUAAGCAUUCCGCCUGGGGAGUACGGUCGCAGAUUAAAA
rnacentral:rRNA from 1 species